rnacentral:rRNA from 1 species
GACGAACGCUGGCGGCGUGCUUAACACAUGCAAGUCGAACGGUAAGGCCCUUCGGGGUACACGAGUGGCGAACGGGUGAGUAACACGUGGGUGAUCUGCCCUGCACUUCGGGAUAAGCCUGGGAAACUGGGUCUAAUACCGGAUAGGACUCCAGACUGCAUGGUCUGGGGUGGAAAGCUUUUGCGGUGUGGGAUGGGCCCGCGGCCUAUCAGCUUGUUGGUGGGGUGAUGGCCUACCAAGGCGACGACGGGUAGCCGGCCUGAGAGGGUGACCGGCCACACUGGGACUGAGAUACGGCCCAGACUCCUACGGGAGGCAGCAGUGGGGAAUAUUGCACAAUGGGCGCAAGCCUGAUGCAGCGACGCCGCGUGAGGGAUGACGGCCUUCGGGUUGUAAACCUCUUUCAGCAUCGACGAAGCGAAAGUGACGGUAGGUGCAGAAGAAGGACCGGCCAACUACGUGCCAGCAGCCGCAGUAAUAC